rnacentral:rRNA from 1 species
AUUGAACGCUGGCGGCAGGCUUAACACAUGCAAGUCGAGCGGAGCGAGGGUGCUUGCACCUUAGCUUAGCGGCGGACGGGUGAGUAAUGCUUAGGAAUCUGCCUAUUAGUGGGGGACAACAUUCCGAAAGGAAUGCUAAUACCGCAUACGCCCUACGGGGGAAAGCAGGGGAUCUUCGGACGUUGCGCUAAUAGAUGAGCCUCAGUCGGAUUAGCUAGUUGGUGGGGUAAAGGCCUACCAAGGCGACGAUCUGUAGCGGGUCUGAGAGGAUGAUCCGCCACACUGGGACUGAGACACGGCCCAGACUCCUACGGGAGGCAGCAGUGGGGAAUAUUGGACAAUGGGCGGAAGCCUGAUCCAGCCAUGCCGCGUGUGUGAAGAAGGCCUUUUGGUUGUAAAGCACUUUAAGCGAGGAGGAGGCUACUUAGAUUAAUACUCUGGGAUAGUGGACGUUACUCGCAGAAUAAGCACCGGCUAACUCUGUGCCAGCAGCCGCCGCGGUAA